UACGUAGGUGGCGAGCGUUAUCCGGAAUUAUUGGGCGUAAAGGGUGCGUAGGCGGCGAAUUAAGUUUGUGGUGAAAGCGUGGGGCUCAACCCCAUAAAGCCACAGAUACUGAUUUGCUAGAGUACUGGAAAGGGAAGUGGAAUUCCAUGUGUAGCGGUAAAAUGCGUAGAUAUAUGGAGGAACACCAGUGGCGAAGGCGGCUUCCUGGCCAGAGACUGACGCUGAGGCACGAAAGCGUGGGGAGC
rnacentral:rRNA from 1 species